UCGGAACUUGUGAUCCUUGCUUCUUUGCAUAAUUUAUGCAUUGUUCGCAAAGGUGAAUAAGCUGUUUGCUGAGAUCUUGGUUGCGGAAAUAUUACAGCGGUGAGUCGAAGAAAUUCUGUCCCGCUAAGCACGUUUGUCUCCGGACAAAAGAUGAAGGUCAAGUCUGCGUCUGUUCCCACUUUCCAUGUGUUUGCGGGAAUAUGAUGUGGUCUUGCCCUGAUUUAUGAAUGCUACUGGGUUGAUCUUGCCAGUAUUCAUAUGCUUGUCUCAAAGAUUAAGCCAUGUGUGUAGGAUAGUGGCCUACCAUGGUGGUAAUGGGAGACGGAGAAUUAGGGUUCGAUUCCGGAGAGGGAGCCUGAGAAACGGCUACCACAUCCAAGGAAGGCAGCAUGGACACAAAUUACCCAAUCCUGACACGGGGAGGUAGUGACAAUAAAUAACAAUACCGGGCUCUUUGAGUCGGGUAAUUGGAAUGAGUACAAUCUAAAUCCCUUAACGAGGAUCCAUUGGAAGGCAAGUUUGGCGCCAGCAGCCGUGGUAAUUCCAGCUCCAAUAGUGUAUAUUUAAGUUGUUACAGUUAAAAAGCUCGUAGUUGAACCUUGGGAUGGGUCGCCCGGUCCAGCUUUGGUGAGCACCGGUCGGCUUGUCUCUUCUGUUGCCGAUUGCUCAUGGCCUUAACUGGCCGGGUCGUGCCUCCGGUGCUGUUAGUUUGAAGAAAUUAGAGUGCUCAAAGCAAGCCUACGCUCUGUAUACAUUAGCAUGGGAUAACAUCAUAGGAUUUCGAUCCUAUUGUGUUGGCCUUCGGAUCGGAGUAAUGAUUAACAGGGACAGUCGGGGGCAUUCGUAUUUGCCAAGGAUAUUUUCAUUAAUCAAGAAUGAAAGUUGGGGGCUCGAAAACGAUCAGAUACCGUCGUAGUCUCAACUAUAAACGAUGCCGACCAGGGAUCAGCAGAUGUUGCUUUUAGGAGUCCGCUGGCACCUUAUGAGAAAUCAAAGUUUUUGUGUUCCGGGGGGAGUAUGGUCGCAAGGCUGAAACUUAAAGGAAUUGACGGAAGGGCACCACCAGGAGUGGAGCUUGCGGCUUAAUUUGACUCAACACGGGAAACUUACCAGGUCCCCGACAUAGUAAGGAUUGACGUGAUCGAGAGCUCUUUCUUGAUUCUAUGGGUGGUGGUGCAUGGCGUUCUUAGUUGGUGGAGCGAUUUGUCUGGUUAAUUCUGUUAACGAACGAGACCUCAGCCUGCUAACUAGCUACGGGAGGCAUCCCUUCACGGCCGGGUUUCUUAGAGGGACUAUGGCCGUUUAGGCCAAGGAAGUUUGAGGCAAUAACAGAUCUGUGAUGCCCUUAGAUGUCCCGGGCGACACGCUACACCGAUGUAUUCAACGAAGUUCACAUCUUGGCCGACAGGCCCGGGUAAUCUUUGAAAUUUCAUCGUGAUGGGGAUAGAUUAUUGCAAUUGUUGGUCUUCAACGAGGAAUUCCUAGUAAGCGCAAGUCAUCAGCUCGCGUUGACUACGCCCCCUCUUUUUGUACACACCGCCCGUCGCUCCUACCGAUUGAAUGAUCCGGUGAAGUGUUCGGAUCGCGGUGACGUGGGUGGUUCGCCGCCAGCGACGUUGUGAGAAGUCCACUAAACCUUAUCAUUUAGAGGAAGGAGAAGUCGUAACAAGGUUGCCGAAGGAUCAUUGUCGUAC
rnacentral:rRNA from 1 species